rnacentral:rRNA from 1 species
GAUGAACGCUGGCGGCGUGCCUAAUACAUGCAAGUCGAGCGAACGGACGAGAAGCUUGCUUCUCUGAUGUUAGCGGCGGACGGGUGAGUAACACGUGGAUAACCUACCUAUAAGACUGGGAUAACUUCGGGAAACCGGAGCUAAUACCGGAUAAUAUUUUGAACCGCAUGGUUCAAAAGUGAAAGACGGUCUUGCUGUCACUUAUAGAUGGAUCCGCGCUGCAUUAGCUAGUUGGUAAGGUAACGGCUUACCAAGGCAACGAUGCAUAGCCGACCUGAGAGGGUGGAGCGCCACAAGGGAAACGGGACCCGGGCCAGGCCCCAGGGGGGAGGAGCAAGGGGGAAUUUUUCGGAAGGGGGAGAAGCCCGGAGGAAGAACGCCGGGGGGGUGGAGAAAGGUGUAGGAAUGGAAAACCUUUUUUAUAGGGGAGAAAAAUUGGUGAAAGAACUGGGACACAUUUGGAGGUUACCAAAUAAAAAAGCCAGGGCAAGCACCGGC